UACGUAGGGGGCGAGCGUUGUCCGGAGUUACUGGGCGUAAAGGGCGCGCAGGCGGUCGCGUGGGCCAUCGCGUGAAAGCCCCCGGCUCAACCGGGCGGUGGCGGGUGGGACCGCGCGGCUGGAGGGUGGUAGGGGCCAGUGGAAUUCCCGGUGUAGUGGUGAAAUGCGUAGAUACCGGGAGGAACACCCGCAGCGAAGGCGGCUGGCUGGGCCAUUCCUGACGCUGAGGCGCGAAGGCUCGGGGAGCGAACGGG
rnacentral:rRNA from 1 species